UACGUAGGGCGCAAGCGUUGUCCGGAAUUAUUGGGCGUAAAGAGCUCGUAGGCGGUUUGUCGCGUCUGCUGUGAAAACUCAGGGCUUAACCCUGAGCUUGCAGUGGGUACGGGCAGACUAGAGUGCGGUAGGGGAGACUGGAAUUCCUGGUGUAGCGGUGAAAUGCGCAGAUAUCAGGAGGAACACCGGUGGGCGAAGGCGGGUCUCUGGGCAACAACUGACGCUGGAGGAGCGAAAGCGUGGGGAGCGAACAGG
rnacentral:rRNA from 1 species